UACGUAGGUCUCAAGCGUUGUUCGGAUUCAUUGGGCGUAAAGGGUGUGUAGGUGGCGCGCUAAGUCGGGUGUGAAAUUUCGGAGCUUAACUCCGAAACUGCAUUCGAUACUGCCGUGCUUGAGGACUGGAGAGGAGACUGGAAUUUACGGUGUAGCGGUGAAAUGCGUAGAUAUCGUAAGGAAGACCAGUGGCGAAGGCGGGUCUCUGGACAGUUCCUGACGCUGAGGCACGAAGGCCAGGGGAGCAAACGGG
rnacentral:rRNA from 1 species